AAGUCGUAACAAGGUUUCCGUAGGUGAACCUGCGGAAGGAUCAUUACCAAAUCUUUGUGUCCUGACCGAAAGGUCUUGAUACUUUAACCCUUUGUGAACUUAAAACCUUAUACGCUUCGGUAGCAAGCUAGGUGGGGUUUUAACCUAUCUAGUUGUUAGCCUGCCGUUAGCACCUUAAAAACACUUUUUACACAUUCAAAAUAUGUCUAUAUAAAAGUAUAUUUUCGAAUGAAAAUCAAAACUUUCAACAACGGAUCUCUUGGUUCUC
rnacentral:misc_RNA from 1 species